rnacentral:misc_RNA from 1 species
AGCAGCGGGCGCAGGAGAU